GAGGGUGUAGCUCAGUGGUAGAGCACAUGCUUAGCAUGAACGAGGUCCUGGAUUCAAUCUCCAGUAUCUCCA
rfam:Camelus ferus unplaced genomic scaffold scaffold8058, whole genome shotgun sequence.